CAGUCCAGUUUAUUCUUCAGGUGGGUCCACCACCAGCUCCUUGGUUUUCCCUGGAUUUAACAUGAGGUGGUUCUGUUGGUACCAGUCUACACAGCUCUGGAUCCACUGACUCUGGAGUUAGGCUUAGGACUCGUCCUCCUGUGGUGACACCGACCAUCAGAGUCAUCAAAGGACGUCUGAAGGUGGCAACCUGGAGAGCUGACGGACAAAUCUGCAGAGUAGAAGCUAUGGCUCAUCAUAAAAGGCGUUGCUGCAGAACUUUGUCUGGACUCGACCCGGCAGACCAGUGGAUCCAGUCUGUGAAGCAUCAGACAUUAUGAAUCCUGCCAGGCGGUAAAACGUCAGUGAGGAUAUCAGAGAGAGCUGUACGGGGUAGAAACGUUGGAGAAAAAAUGUCAGACAGUACAUUUACAGCGUUUGUUUUACAUCUGAAAAUAAUCUGAUGUUAAAAUCCAGCUUUUUUUGUCUGAAACAUUAAACUAAUAACAUUUA